CCUACGGGAGGCAGCAGUGGGGAAUAUUGCACAAUGGGGGAAACCCUGAUGCAGCGACGCCGCGUGAGUGAAGAAGUAUUUCGGUAUGUAAAGCUCUAUCAGCAGGGAAGAAAAUGACGGUACCUGAGUAAGAAGCCCCGGCUAACUACGUGCCAGCAGCCGCGGUAAUACGUAGGGGGCAAGCGUUAUCCGGAUUUACUGGGUGUAAAGGGAGCGUAGACGGCAGCACAAGUCUGGAGUGAAAGGCCGGGGCUGAACCCCGGAACUGCUUUGGAAACUGUGCUGCUAGAGUGCAGGAGAGGUAAGUGGAAUUCCUAGUGUAGCGGUGAAAUGCGUAGAUAUUAGGAGGAACACCAGUGGCGAAGGCGGCUUACUGGACUGUAACGGACGUUGAGGCUCGAAAGCGUGGGGAGCAAACAGGAUUAGAUACCCUUGUAGUC
rnacentral:rRNA from 1 species